CACGUAGGGUCCGAGCGUUGUCCGGAAUUACUGGGCGUAAAGCGCGCGCAGGCGGCCCGACACAUCGGACGGUGAAAGCCCCCCGCUUAACGGGGGAGGGUCCGUCGUGAUGGUCGGGCUGGAGGCAGGGAGAGGGCGGUGGAAUUCCGGGUGUAGUGGUGAAAAUGCGUAGAGAGUCCGGAGGAACACCAGUGGGCAGAAG
rnacentral:rRNA from 1 species